rnacentral:rRNA from 1 species
UACGGAGGGUGCAAGCGUUGUCCGGAUUUAUUGGGUUUAAAGGGUGCGUAGGCGGCCCUCUAAGUCAGUGGUGAAAUACUGCAGCUUAACUGUAGCAUUGCCAUUGAUACUGGAGGGCUUGAGUACAGAUGAGGUAGGCGGAAUUUAUGGUGUAGCGGUGAAAUGCAUAGAUACCAUAAAGAACACCUAUUGCGAAGGCAGCUUACUAAGCUGUAAACUGACGCUGAGGCACGAAAAGCGUGGGGGAGCGAACAGG